GUGCCAGCCGCCGCGGUAAUACAGAGGUCCCAAGCGUUGUUCGGAUUCACUGGGCGUAAAGGGUGCGUAGGUGGCGAUUUAAGUCGGGUGUGAAAUCUCCGGGCUCAACCCGGAGGGUGCGCCCGAAACUGAGUUGCUAGAGGAUGGGAGGGGAGACUGGAAUUCUCGGUGUAGCAGUGAAAUGCGUAGAUAUCGAGAGGAACACCGGUGGCGAAGGCGAGUCUCUGGACCAUUCCUGACACUGAGGCACGAAAGCCGGGGGAGCAAACAGGAUUAGAAACCCGGGUAGUCC
rnacentral:rRNA from 1 species